AAUAGAUGUCACCCAAAGAGAAAGCCCUUCAGAGACAGUUGUCUUCGGAGACCAACAGGCCAGGCAGCUACUUGCUAGCUGAAUCUCCACCCACUGCAGGUGAUUCGACAUGUAAAGGAGAAAGACCUACCUUUUGUUUUAAAAGAUGUCAUGGACCUUUCUGGGUCCCAUCUGCUCAGGGAUGUCUACAGCUUUACUCCACAGACAAGGUAUUUUUCUGGGCAGAGAUUUCAUUCCACUGAUUAUUCACCAGCUUUAGUGAUACUGAACUUAUGCAGCCUACUUGACUUCAUAUUUUGGGAGCAGAGGUGGAUGCAGAUAUUGCCAGACACAGUGAUGAGAUUUGCCAGAUGCGCAGGGUGACACGCACCGUUAUGCCCAUGCACAGAUCACGGAGUGAUAAACAGGUUCAUCAGGAGAAAUGGAGACCCUUAGGAUGAUUCUCAUGGGAACUGACAGCAGCAGGGAACCAGAUCUGACCUAUAUCUCCUGGCAAACACUUGUGCACCUACUGGCUGCAUGGAAAAAUGUGACUAUUUUGCUUUGCAAGCACGCUGUUUUGCAAUGGUUUUGCAGACUGCUCUAAACUGUGGUGUGGAUCCCAAUCAGCUGUGGGAUGCACAUUGAGUGAUAGCACAGCAAAAGACUUUUUUUUGGAAAGCAACAAUUCAGGAUUUGAUCUGGGUGAAGUUUUGUAUUGUGUUUUCCUGCUGAAAAUGCACUUUUAAGUCAUUAAAAUUUUCUGAGAGGGAGAGGAGAAAAACAAUCAAAACAUUUUGACUCGAUAUUUGAAAAAAAUUAUUUCGUUUGUUUUCAGAUUUCUAUUUUUAGAGCUUAACUUAGCCUUAAUUAAAAAAUAAUAAUGUACUCUCCCUUCCU